rnacentral:rRNA from 1 species
UACGGGGGGAGCAAGCGUUGUUCGGAUUUACUGGGCGUAAAGGGCGCGUAGGCGGUCGUGACAAGUCACUUGUGAAAUCUCCGGGCUUAACUCGGAACGGUCAAGUGAUACUGUCGGACUAGAGUACAGAAGGGGCAACUGGAAUUCUCGGUGUAGCGGUGAAAUGCGUAGAUAUCGAGAGGAAUACCUGCGGCGAAGGCGGGUUGCUGGGCCGUAACUGACGCUGAGGAGCGAAAGCGUGGGGGAGCGAACAGG